GCUGACCCGCAGUGAAGUUGGCGUCACCCAUAAAGUCUUCCUCAGGCUUGAUCUAGGAUGCUAAGUCUUGGUCCACCAAAAAACAAAGAGAAGAGUGUGAAAACUGUUUCGGAAACUGGACUGUCUUGUUGUGCUGAAUGGAUCUUCGACUGUGUACAACUGAUGGGUGACUAAUAGUUGACCUGCAAUGGAGUUGGCUUCACCCUUAAAGUCUCUUCCUCAGUCUUGAUCAAGGAUGCUAAGACUUGGUCCACCAAAAAAAAMAAAGAGAAGAGUGUGAAAACUGUUUUGGAAACCAGACUGUCUUGUUGUGCUGAACGGAUCAUGGACUGUGUACAAGAGAUGGGUGACUAAUAUGUGACCUGUAAUGGAGUUGGCUUAACCCUUAAAGUCUCCUGCUCAGUCUUGAUCUUGGAUGCUAAGACUUGGUCCACCAAAAAACAAAGAGAAGAGUGUGAAAACUGUUUCGGAAACUGGACUGUCCUGUUGUGCUGAAUGGAUCUUGGACUGUGUACAAGAGAUGAGUGACUAAUAGUUGACCUGCAAUGGAGUUGGCUUCACCCAAAGAAUCUCUUCCUCAGUCGUGAUCUGGAAUGCUAAAACUUGGUCCACCAAAAAACAAAGAGAAGAGUGUGACAGCUGUUUUAGAAACUGGACUGUCUUGCUGAGCUAAACUGAGCACCAGAAAUGGGAGAGCAGUAUCCCCAGCCCAUGGAAACUAAUUCUAGGCUCAAAGAUCAUGUUGGGUUGUACUGGACAGUGAAUUACAUAAGGUACCUGAUUAAAGUUAAUAAGAAUUGAAGUAGCAAACAUACUUCAAAGCAAUACAUCUGGACCCAAAGGGUUGCCUUACCCUCACGAGGAAGGACAUUUUUGAGGAAGACGAUUCGAAAAGUGAGAUGGAUUUGGUGACAGUUGCUUGCAAGUUCUCAAAUGGAUAUUGGGGGCAAACUGGACGAAGACUACAAGUUGAAAGGUCAAGGAGACCAGGAUAUUUAAUAACCUGGUAUUUCUACCUUCACGAAAGAAGCCAAAGAAAGAUAUCAACCGUGAAAAGAGGUGUUAAAUGAGAGGUUGGAAACUAUCGUCAACUUUGUC